CCUACGGGAGGCAGCAGUGAGGAAUAUUGGUCAAUGGCCGGAAGGCUGAACCAGCCAUGCCGCGUGAAGGUCAGUGCCCUAUGGGCGUUAAACUUCUUUUGUGCGGGAGCAAUAAUGGUCACGUGUGGCCAGACGAGAGUACCGUACGAAUAAGCAUCGGCUAACUCCGUGCCAGCAGCCGCGGUAAUACGGGGGAGGCAAGCGUUAUCCGGAUUUAUUGGGUUUAAAGGGUGCGUAGGCUGUGAGGUAAGUCAGCGGUGAAAUGCCCCCGCUCAACGGGGUGAAGUGCCAUUGAUACUGCCUGGCUGGAAUGCGGAUGCCGUGGGAGGAAUGUGUGGUGUAGCGGUGAAAUGCAUAGAUAUCACACAGAACACCGAUUGCGAAGGCAUCUCACGAAUCCGCGAUUGACGCUGAUGCACGAAAGCGUGGGUAUCAAACAGGAUUAGAUACCCCAGUAGUC
rnacentral:rRNA from 1 species